CUAGCCUCCAGGCCACCUCCAUAGCGGCUCCAGAGCUGGGCCCCGCCCGCACUCCACCUGAGCUACAGCUGAGCCCUGCUCCAUCACUAGGAUAGUUUCCGCAUACCUUUUCAGAACCCGCGCUGUAUAAGAGAAGGAAAACGAUCCUCUCAGGACGCUCCCUGCUCACUUGGGGGACCAUCCGAGGGCAUCUGACCUGCCUUUUCCUUCUUCUGAAUUCUGUUUUCUCAUCUGUGCAUACUUUGUGUUUACAAACUCCCAGUAUUGAGGAACGCGUGCUGGCGUCCAUGCUUUCUGGGUGUUCAACGGAGGGAGACAGGAAGAACUUGAUGGCCUCUAAGCUGCCAUUGGAGACAAGAUUGGUCGAAGGAUAUGAACAGUUCAUCCAGGAGUGGUCCAAGCAACAGGAGUGAGGUGCGCCUACUGUGACCGGGAUAAGAAGAGACUGGGAAUCUGUAUAUCCUCAACGCGUGUCUCUCCUGCUUCCGGUUUCCAACUGAGCCUGGAGAUGAUCCUGUGCCACAGUUCUCCAUACCUGGGUCCUGCCUGGAGAGAG